rnacentral:ncRNA from 3 species
CGUUCUUAGUUGGUGGAGCGA